UAUUGAGUAAGUCAUCCUCUGCACACACACUCUCAGGGAUAUGGUAACCAUUCUUUCCUUUGACCCUUCAGGCCUCACGUGUACCAGCUCUCUGCUUUCCUUUGCCUUGGGACGUUCCAUCCCUGGAAGUUUCCCUGCCCACAUCUUUGUAGAGAGUCCAUUCUCCAAGCUUCAGUGUGUCAUCUGUGAGGACUGUGACCAACCUGGUACAUCGCCUCAGGGCAUUCAUUUCAGGCUCCUUCUAAAUGGUCAAGGAUCAGAGGGAAACAGACCAUUUUCUAUUGUGACAAAGAGAGAACCCAGGAAAGGGGCAGUGUUUUUCCCCUCACAGGUGAUGGAGUUUGUAUACAGAAUGCAGUGGAUAAUGGCAGGCUUGUCCUCUGAACAGAUGGUGAUGGUCUUGUUGCUAGGAUGAGGCCUCAAGAAUUUAGUUUUUAAUUCCACAUUAUUUGCCUCAGUGCCAUGAAUAUCCCUAGGUUUCCUGAGGCAAAAAUACAGAAAAAAAAUCCACAGAAAGAGUGACACACAGAGAGAGAAAGAGCUAGAGAUGGGGCAACUGAGCAGAGACUGGAGCCCGGUCAAGAGAGGCUUUGGGGAAAAUGCCUGCUCAGCUGUCUGCAAUCACCUGGGUUUAAAGCAGGCAGGAAGGAAGAUUGGUUUGGCAGGAGAACUGGCCCUUUGAUGCCUUCGAUACCACAGAGAAAAAUUCCCAUUUCUUCCCAUUAGAAGUCUGUUUACUUUCCUAAUUAAGAUAAACAUGUUUCUGAAGGAGUUAGCUCUUAUAGCAUGACAUUUAUAAAAUCAACUAUAUAUACACACAAGAAUGUUUGCCAGGAAUUUGGGCUGAUGGUGAUUGUAUGAAGCAUUUUAUAGAAAUAUUUUUAAAUAGUUGCCUUAUUUAAAAGUGAGCGACUUUCAUUCCCUCCAGUCAAUUAAAUAUCUAAUUUCAACUCUCGGAGAUAAUAACUGAAGUAGUUUUUUUAAUAAAUGAAUGAACAGUUAGAAAACUGUUAAACACAUAGCCCUGAAGCAUGAAAAAUAUAUUCGUUGAACAGCUUUAUUCUUUUAUUGUUAAUUUACUUCAGAGAAUAUCCACUCGUGUAAUUUUCAAUAAAGUACUCUUAUUUUGAAGUCUCCUUUAUUGAGUAUAAGAGUGAUGUAUGUGAUUAUAGGCCAGUAGGCUAAAGAAGUUAGAGAUUCUGAACACAAGGGUGAAUGAGGGUGUAACUAGGUAUCAGAACAGGAUUACCUACCAGAAUUGUCAGACCACCUGCCUGAAUUAGUCACUUCAGUCAAACAAUUACGUUCCAUGCCACCCCUCCAACACAUACACCGUAACUGACAUUAAUCACUUGUCUCAGAAUUAUCUGAAUGCAACUUUAAUAAUUCAGUAAUUAACCACCUGAAUUUUUUGGCAUAAUGUGACUGAUGGCAUUGUACACAAGUCUCACA
ensembl:lincRNA